rnacentral:tRNA from 1 species
GCGGCCGUAGUCUAGCCUGGUCUAGGAUGGGAGCCUGCCACGCUCCAGACCCGGGUUCAAAUCCCGGCGGCCGCACCA